GAUCCUGGCUCAGGACGAACGCUGGCGGCGUGCUUAACACAUGCAAGUCGAACGAGAAUCUGUGGAUCGAGGAUUCGUCCAAGUGAAGCAGAGGACAGUGGCGGACGGGUGAGUAACGCGUGAGGAACCUGCCCUUCAGAGGGGGACAACAGUUGGAAACGACUGCUAAUACCGCAUGAUACGUUUUAGGGGCAUCCCUGAGACGUCAAAGAUUUAUCGCUGAAGAUGGCCGUCGCG
rnacentral:rRNA from 1 species